rnacentral:rRNA from 1 species
AAUGAACGCUGGCGGCAUGCCUAACACAUGCAAGUCGAACGAAGCCUUCGGGCUUAGUGGCGCACGGGUGCGUAACGCGUGGGAAUCUGCCCUUGGGUUCGGAAUAACAGCGAGAAAUUGCUGCUAAUACCGGAUGAUGACGUAAGUCCAAAGAUUUAUCGCCCAAGGAUGAGCCCGCGUAGGAUUAGCUAGUUGGUGAGGUAAAGGCUCACCAAGGCGACGAUCCUAGCUGGUCUGAGAGGAUGAUCAGCCACACUGGGACUGAGACACGGCCCAGACUCCUACGGGAGGCAGCAGUGGGGAAUAUUGGACAAUGGGCGCAAGCCUGAUCCAGCCAUGCCGCGUGAGUGAUGAAGGCCCUAGGGUUGUAAAGCUCUUUGUGCGGGAAGAUAAUGACGGUACCGCAAGAAUAAGCCCCGGCUAACUUCGUGCCAGCAGCCGCCGU